GACGGAGGAUGCAAACGUUGCUCGGAUUUACUGGGCGUAAAGCGCGCGCAGGCGGUUCUGUAAGUCGGACGUGAAAGCCCGGGGCUCAACCUCGGAAGUGCGUCUGAUACUGCAGGACUGGAGUACUGGAGAGGAGAGCGGAAUUCCCGGUGUAGAGGUGAAAUUCGUAGAUAUCGGGAGGAACACCAGUGGCGAAGGCGGCUCUCUGGACAGAUACUGACGCUGAGGCGCGAAAGCGUGGGAAGCAAACAGG
rnacentral:rRNA from 1 species